rnacentral:rRNA from 1 species
GAUGAACGCUGGCGGCGUGCCUAACACAUGCAAGUCGAACGGAAAGACACUGAGAUUGUGCUCUUACCGGUGGCGGGUGGCGGGCGUGUGAGGAAUGCAUCGUAAUCUUCUUUUUCGGGGAGGAUAACGUAAGGAAGGUUACGCUAAUAUCGCAUAUGAUGUACGGGGGAGAGCAGUGGAUCGUUGCGGCUGUCGGGAAUGAACUAGCGGAUGUCGGGUUAGUUAGUUGGGUGGGUAAAGGCCUACCAAGUCGACGAUACGUAGCUGGACUGAGAGGAUGAUCGGCCACACUGGAACUGAGACACGGUCCAGACUCCUACGGGAGGCAGCAGUGGGGAAUAUUGGGCAAUGGGCGCAAGCAUGAUCCAGCCAUACCGCGUGGGUGAAGAAGGCCUUCGGGUUGUAAAGCCCUUUUGUUGGGAAAGAAAAGCAGCAGGUUAAUACCCCGCUGUUCUGACGGUACCCAAUGAAUAAGCACCGGCUAACUACGUG